rnacentral:tRNA from 1 species
CAUUAGAUGACUGAAAGAAAGUAAUGGUCUCUUAAACCAGAACAUAGUAAUUAACGACUACUUCUAAUGA